rnacentral:rRNA from 1 species
GACGAACGCUGGCGGCGUGCUUAACACAUGCAAGUCGAACGGAAAGGCCCCCUUGUGGGGUACUCGAGUGGCGAACGGGUGAGUAACACGUGAGUAACCUACCCUUGACUUUGGGAUAACUUCAGGAAACUGGGGCUAAUACCGGAUAGGAGCUCCUGCUGCAUGGUGGGGGUUGGAAAGUUUCGGCGGUUGGGGAUGGACUCGCGGCUUAUCAGCUUGUUGGUGGGGUAGUGGCUCACCAAGGCCUUGACGGGUAGCCGGCCUGAGAGGGUGACCGGCCACAUUGGGACUGAGAUACGGCCCAGACUCCUACGGGAGGCAGCAGUGGGGAAUAUUGCACAAUGGGCGGAAGCCUGAUGCAGCAACGCCGCGUGCGGGAUGACGGCCUUCGGGUUGUAAACCGCUUUCGCCUGUGACGAAGCGUGAGUGACGGUAAUGGGUAAAGAAGCACCGGCUAACUACGUG